CUACGGGUUGCAGCAGUGGGGAAUAUUGCACAAUGGGCGAAAGCCUGAUGCAGCGACGCCGCGUGAGGGAUGACGGCCUUCGGGUUGUAAACCUCUUUCAGCAGGGAAGAAGCGAAAGUGACGGUACCUGCAGAAGAAGCACCGGCUAACCACGUGCCAGCAGCCGCGGUAAUACGUAGGGUGCGAGCGUUGUCCGGAAUUAUUGGGCGUAAAGAGCUUGUAGGCGGUUUGUCGCGUCUGCUGUGAAAAUCCGGGGCUCAACCCCGGACUUGCAGUGGGUACGGGCAGACUAGAGUGUGGUAGGGGAGACUGGAAUUCCUGGUGUAGCGGUGAAAUGCGCAGAUAUCAGGAGGAACACCGAUGGCGAAGGCAGGUCUCUGGGCCACUACUGACGCUGAGAAGCGAAAGCAUGGGGAGCGAACAGGAUUAGAUACCCUUGUAGUC
rnacentral:rRNA from 1 species